CCUACGGGUGGCUGCAGUGAGGAAUAUUGGUCAAUGGCCGGAAGGCUGAACCAGCCAUGCCGCGUGAAGGUCAGUGCCCUAUGGGCGUUAAACUUCUUUUGUUCAGGAGCAAUAAUGGUCACGUUUGGCCAGACGACAGUACCGUACGAAUAAGCAUCGGCUAACUCCGUGCCAGCAGCCGCGGUAAUACGGGGGAUGCAAGCGUUAUCCGGAUUUAUUUGGUUUAAAGGGUGCGUAGGCUGGGUGGUAAGUCAGCUGGCAAAUGCCUCCGCUCAACGGGGUGAAGUGCCAUUGAUACUGGCUGGCUUGAAUGCGGAUGCGGUGGGAGGAAUGUGUGGUGUAGCGGUGAAAUGCAUAGAUAUCACACAGAACACCGAUUGCGAAGGCAUCUCACGAAUCUGCGAUUGACGCUGAUGCACGAAAGCGUGGGUAUCAAACAGGAUUAGAUACCCUUGUAGUC
rnacentral:rRNA from 1 species